rnacentral:rRNA from 1 species
UACAGAGGGUGCGAGCGUUGUCCGGAAUCACUGGGCGUAAAGGGCGCGUAGGUGGUGGCUUAAGCGUGCGGUGAAAGCUCGGGGCUCAACCCCGAGUCGGCCGUGCGAACUGGGCUCACUGGAGCAUAGUAGAGGCAGGUGGAAUUCCGGGUGUAGCGGUGGAAUGCGUAGAGAUCCGGAAGAACACCGGUGGCGAAGGCGGCCUGCUGGGCAGUUUAGCUGACACUGAGGCGCGACAGCGUGGGGAGCAAACAGG